rnacentral:rRNA from 1 species
AACAAACGCUGGCGGCAUGCCUAACACAUGCAAGUCGUACGAGAAAGGGUCCUUCGGGGCCUGAGUAAAGUGGCGCACGGGUGAGUAACGCGUGGAUAAUCUGCCCUUCAGUUGGGAAUAACUCAUCGAAAGGUGGGCUAAUACCGAAUAAUGCUGUGAGACCUCGGUUGAUCAGCCAAAGAGAGCCUCUGCUUGCAAGCCCUCGCUGAAGGAUGAGUCCGCGUACCAUUAGCUAGUUGGUAGGGUAAUGGCCUACCAAGGCGACGAUGGUUAGCUGGUGUGAGAGGAUGAUCAGCCACACUGGAACUGAGACACGGUCCAGACUCCUACGGAGGCAGCAGUGAGGAAUCUUGCGCAAGGGGGGGCAACCCUGACGCAGCAACGCCGCGUGAGUGAGGAAGGUCUUCGGAUCGUAAAGCUCUGUCGGAUGGUAAGAACCGCAUAGGGGUAAACAGCCCCUGUGUCUGACGGUACCAUCAAAGGAAGCACCGGCUAACUCCGUGCCAGCCGCCGCGGUAAAAC